AUUAACCAACUGUCAAGGACCUCAGCUGCCAGCAGACAGGCCUCGAUGAUGAAGAAUGUCAGACACCCACGGCAGGCACUGUGCGGACACUCCAGGCCUGACCCCUCCCCGUGGAAGGCACAGGGGCAGUGCUGGCGAACUUCUGGAUGGCCCUGGGUAGUUGAUUGCUGGCUGCCACCAUCCCCCAACAGGGCAGGAAGAAACCUGUUUUGUGCCAGAUGACAAAGAACCUGGAUUCACCUGUACCAGUAUGGUGGCGUGGGGUCGCUGGAGGGAUGUUUAUUUCCACCCUUCAGGAAGCAGCUCUGCAUAAAUUGUGCCUUGAAGAAGAAGACCUCAGAUCUGAGGUUAGAAGGCCGCUGCUUGUGAUGCACUGAAGCUCAGAGGUCACCCCAUCCGACUCUCCACACCAUCCCUCAGAAAACCACCUCAAUGAUCCAAAACAGGGACUCAGGUGUAUGACUGAAGAGGUCCUGGACCUCCAGAGAUAAAAUUACCACCUCCUUAAAAGCACUCCAGAGUUUAUCAAAGCCUACUUCCGCUGGGGAAAGCUCUGUGCCUCCGCUGAACAGCCACCCAUGAUAUCUACCCAUGGCUGCUUCUCUAAGUCCCCUGCCAGCCCCACCUUCAGGAGAUGGAAUUGGGAUGGGUAAAGUUUCCACAGCUACUUUCUUAAUGUAG
rnacentral:lncRNA from 1 species